rnacentral:rRNA from 1 species
GAUGAACGCUGGCGGCGUGCCUAAUACAUGCAAGUCGAGCGAACGGACGAGAAGCUUGCUUCUCUGAUGUUAGCGGCGGACGGGUGAGUAACACGUGGAUAACCUACCUAUAAGACUGGGAUAACUUCGGGAAACCGGAGCUUAUACCGGAUAAUAUUUUGAACCGCAUGGUUCAAAAGUGAAAGACGGUCUUGCUGUCACUUAUAGCUGGAUCCGCGCUGCAUUAGCUAGUUGGUAAGGUAACGGCUUACCAAGGCAACGAUGCAUAGCCGACGUGAGAGGGUGAUCGGCCACACUGGAACUGGGACACGGUCCAGACGCCUACGAGAGGCAGCAGUAGGGAAUCUGCCGCAAUGGUCGAAAGCCUGACGGAGCAACGCCGCGUGAGUGAUGAAGGUCUUCGGAUCGUAAAACUCUGUUAUGAGGGAAGAACAUAUGUGUAAGUAACUGUGCACAUCUUGACGGUACCUAAUCAGAAAGCCACGGCUAACUACGUG